AGUGAACGCUGGCGGUAGGCCUAACACAUGCAAGUCGAACGGCAGCACAGUAUGAGCUUGCUCUUACGGGUGGCGAGUGGCGGACGGGUGAGGAAUACAUCGGAAUCUACUUUUUCGUGGGGGAUAACGUAGGGAAACUUACGCUAAUACCGCAUACGACCUACGGGUGAAAGCAGGGGAUCUUCGUACCUUGCGCGAUUGAAUGAGCCGAUGUCGGAGUAGCUAGUUGGCGGGGUAAAGGCCCACCAAGGCGACGAUCCGUAGCUGGUCUGAGAGGAUGAUCAGCCACACUGGAACUGAGACACGGUCCAGACUCCUACGGGAGGCAGCAGUGGGGAAUAUUGGACAAUGGGCGCAAGCCUGAUCCAGCCAUACCGCGUGGGUGAAGAAGGCCUUCGGGUUGUAAAGCCCUUUUGUUGGGAAAGAAAAGCAGCAGGUUAAUACCCCGCUGUUCUGACGGUACCCAAAGAAUAAGCACCGGCUAACUUCGUG
rnacentral:rRNA from 1 species